AACGAACGCUGGCGGCGUGCCUAACACAUGCAAGUCGAGCGCGAAAAGGGCAACCUGAGUAGAGCGGCGCACGGGUGCGUAACACGUGGGUAAUCUGCCUUAGAGUCGAGGAUAACCUUCCGAAAGGUUGGCUAAUACUCGGUAAGCUUACGGUGUCUUCGGACGCUGUGGGAAAAGUAGGCCUCUGUUUACAAGCUUACGCUCUGAGAUGAGCCCGCGGCCCAUCAGCUAGUUGGCGGUGGAACGGACCACCAAGGCAACGACGGGUAGCUGGUCUGAGAGGACGAUCAGCCACACUGGAACUGAGACACGGUCCAGACUACUACGGGAGGAAGCAGUGGGGAAUUUUCCACAAUGGGCGAAAGCCUGAUGGAGCAACGCCGCGUGUGUGAUGAAGGUUUUCGGAUCGUAAAGCACUUUCGACCGGGACGAAAAACCUCUGGCUAACAUCCAGGGGCCUGACGGUACCGGGAGAAGAAGCACCGGCUAACUCUGUGCCAGCCGCCGCCGUAA
rnacentral:rRNA from 1 species